CAAAAACCUAUCCAGAUCCAUAUAAAAGUACAUCAUGUAUGUUUUGUGGUUUUGUACUCAAAAGUACAUCAUGUAUGUUUUGUGGUGGUGUGUGGUGGGGUGUGGAGGUGGUGUAGUGGGGUGUGGAGGUGGUGUAGGGGGGUGUGGAGGUGGUGUAGGGGGGUGUGGAGGUGUGUAGUGGUGUGUGGAGGUGGUGUAGUGGUGUGUGGAGGUGGUGUAGUGGUGUGUGGUGGUGUGUGGAGGUGGUGUAGUGGUGUGUGGAGGUGGUGUAGUGGUGUGUGGAGGUGGUGUAGUGGUGUGGAGGUGGUGUAGUGGUGUGUGGAGGUGGUGUAGUGGUGUGUGGAGGUGGUGUAGUGGUGUGUGGAGGUGGUGUAGUGGUGUGUGGAGGUGUGUGGAGGUGGUGUAGUGGUGUGUGGAGGUGGUGUGGAGGUGGUGUAGUGGGGUGUGGAGGUGUGUAGUGGUGUGUGGAGGUGGUGUGGAGGUGGUGUAGUGGUGUGUGGAGGCGUGUAGUGGUGUGUGGAGGUGGUGUAGUGGGGUGUAGUGGUGUGUGGAGGUGUGUAGUGGGGUGUAGUGGUGUGUGGAGGUGUGUAGUGGUGUGUGGAGGUGGGGUGUGGAGGUGGUGUAGUGGUGUGUGGAGGUGUGUGGAGGUGGUGUAGUGGGGUGUGGAGGCGUGUGGAGGUGUUGUAGUGGGGUGUGGAGGUGGUGUAGUGGUGUGUGGAGGCGUGUGGAGGGGUGUGGAGGUGGUGUAGUGGUGUGUGGAGGUGGUGUAGUGGUGUGUGGAGGUGUGUGGAGGUGUGUAGUGGUGUGUGGAGGUGGUGUAGUGGUGUGUGGAGGUGUGUAGUGGGGUGUGGAGGUGGUGUAGUGGGGUGUGGAGGUGGUGUAGUGGUGUGUGGAGGUGGUGUAGUGGUGUGUGGAGGUGUGUGGUGGGGUGUGGAGGUGGUGUAGUGGUGUGUGGAGGUGUGUAGUGGUGUGUGGAGGUGGUGCAGUGGUGUGUGGAGGCGUGUGGAGGUGGUGUAGUGGUGUGUGGAGGUGGUGUAGUGGUGUGUGGUGGUGUGUGGAGGUGGUGUAGUGGUUUGUGGAGGUGGUGUAGUGGUGUGGAGGUGGUGUAGUGGUGUGUGGAGGUGUGUGGAGGUGGUGUAGUGGUGUGUGGAGGUGGUGUAGUGGUGUGUGGAGGUGGUGUAGUGGUGUGUGGAGGUGUGUGGAGGUGGUGUAGUGGUGUGUGGAGGUGUGUAGUGGUGUGUGGAGGUGGUGUAGUGGGGUGUGGAGGUGUGUAGUGGUGUGUGGAGGUGGUGUAGUGGUGUAGUGGUGUGUGGAGGUGUGUAGUGGGGUGUAGUGGUGUGUGGAGGUGUGUAGUGGUGUGUGGUGGUGGUGUGGAGGCGUGUGGAGGUGGUGUAGUGGGGUGUGGAGGUGGUGUAGUGGUGUGUGGAGGUGUGUAGUGGUGUGUGGAGGCGUGUGGAGGUGGUGUAGUGGUGUGUGGAGGUGUGUAGUGGUGUGUGGAGGCGUGUAGUGGUGUGUGGAGGUGGUGUAGUGGGGUGUGGAGGUGGUGUAGUGGUGUGUGGAGGUGUGUGGAGGUGGUGUAGUGGGGUGUGGAGGCGUGUGGAGGUGUUGUAGUGGGGUGUGGAGGUGUUGUAGUGGGGUGUGGAGGUGGUGUAGUGGUGUGUGGAGGCGUGUGGAGGGGUGUGGAGGUGGUGUAGUGGUGUGUGGAGGUGGUGUAGUGGUGUGUGGAGGUGUGUGGUGGUGUGUGGAGGUGUGUAGUGGUGUGUGGAGGUGGUGUAGUGGUGUGUGGAGGUGUGUAGUGGGGUGUGGAGGUGGUGUAGUGGGGUGUGGAGGCGUGUGGAGGUGGUGUAGUGGUGUGUGGAGGUGGUGUAGUGGUGUGUGGAGGUGUGUGGUGGUGUGUGGAGGUGUGUAGUGGUGUGUGGAGGUGGUGUAGUGGUGUGUGGAGGUGUGUAGUGGUGUGUGGAGGUGGUGUAGUGGUGUGUGGAGGCGUUGUAGUGGGGUGUGGAGGUGGUGUAGUGGGGUGUGGAGGGGGUGUAGUGGGGUGUGGAGGUGUGUAGUGGUGUGUGGAGGUGGUGUAGUGGGGUGUGGAGGUGGUGUAGUGGUGUGUGGAGGUGUGUAGUGGUGUGUGGAGGUGGUGGAGUGGGGUGUGGAGGCGUGUGGAGGUGUUGUAGUGGGGUGUGGAGGUGGUGUAGUGGGGUGUGGAGGGGGUGUAGUGGGGUGUGGAGGUGUGUAGUGGUGUGUGGAGGUGGUGUAGUGGUGUGUGGAGGUGUGUAGUGGUGUGUGGAGGUGGUGUAGUGGUGUGUGGAGGCGUGUGGAGGUGGUGUAGUGGUGUGUGGAGGCGUGUGGAGGUGGUGUAGUGGUGUGUGGAGGCGUGUGGAGGUGGUGUGUGG
ensembl:lncRNA